rnacentral:rRNA from 1 species
CCCUUAGAUGUUCUGGGCCGCACGCGCGCUACACUGACGAAUGCAACGAGCUUAUAACCUUGGCCGAAAGGUCUGGGUAAUCUCCAAAUUUCGUCGUGAUGGGGAUAGAUUAUUGCAAUUAUUAAUCUUCAACGAGGAAUGCCUAGUAAGCGCAAGUCAUCAGCUUGCGUUGAUUACGUCCCUGCCCUUUGUACACACCGCCCGUCGCUCCUACCGAUUGAAUGGUCCGGUGAAACGUUCGGACCGUGGCCUUUGGACGGUUCGCCGUCUGUUGGCUGCGGGAAGUUCGUUAAACCUUAUCAUUUAGAGGAAGGAGAAGUCGUAACA